rnacentral:lncRNA from 1 species
GGGGUUAAUAAAAUUGAGAAUGGAAAUGGGGGAGGUGCCAAAAGAGACAACAACCCGACCAUAGAGCAGACAAUAGCAGAAGGUCACCAACAGGUCUUCAAUGCAACGAGAAAUUCCCGCACACGGAGGCGUCCUUCAGCUGGCCCCUCAACAAAUAUAUACUAGUUCAGUGAUAAUGAACGCCAUACUACACAAGAAACUAAAAG